GGUUGUGUGGUGUAAUGGUAGCACGUAUCGUUGUGGAAUCACUUUGUGGCAUCCCGACGGCCCGAUACAAUCGCGGUUCGAUUCCGUGCACAGCCA